rnacentral:rRNA from 1 species
AUGCCAUGUAAUGAUGUGAGUGAGUGGGCUAUGAUGAAUGGCAGAAAAAUCAUACCACCACCACUUCAGAAAAAGAAAGGAAGAAGGGCAAGGAAUAGGAGACAACAACCAGAAGAGAAGCAGGGAAAGAGAGGUGUGAAGAUCAAUAAGGCAGGCGCAGUCAUCCAUUGUGGAUAUUGUGGAGGUGCUGGUCAUAACAUAAAUGGUUGCUUGGACUGGAAGUUAGGGUUGAAGCCUAAGAAAAAAACAAGAAGCCAUAGAGUUAGAGCUGAGCCAGAUGUGUCAUCUUCAGAUGAAGAAACAAUAGGCCUUACUCAGGAAAUUAAUCUUCAGACGGCUGGUGUUCUUAACCAUGACCAACCUUUGUAUCAUUCAGAGAUGCUAGCUACUUUAACACAGGAAGCAGAGAGAGGAAGUUGUGCAUGGGCCACUACCUGA